UGGGGAAUAUUGCACAAUGGGGGAAACCCUGAUGCAGCGACGCCGCGUGAACGAAGAAGGUAUUCGUAUCGUAAAGUUCUGUCCUAUGGGAAGAUAAUGACAGUACCAUAGGAGAAAGCUCCGGCUAAAUACGUGCCAGCAGCCGCGGUAAUACGUAUGGAGCGAGCGUUGUCCGGAAUUAUUGGGCGUAAAGGGUACGUAGGCGGUUUAAUAAGUCGAAUGUUAAAGAUCGGGGCUCAACCCCGCAAAGCAUUGGGAACUGAUAAACUUGAGUAGUGGAGAGGAAAGUGGAAUUCCUAGUGUAGUGGUGAAAUACGUAGAUAUUAGGAGGAAUACCAGUAGCGAAGGCGACUUUCUGGACACAAACUGACGCUGAGGUACGAAAGCGUGGGGAGCAAACAGG
rnacentral:rRNA from 1 species